UUAAGUCCCGCAACGAGCGCAACCCUUGCCAUUAGUUGCUACGAAAGGGCACUCUAAUGGGACUGCCGGUGACAAACCGGAGGAAGUGGGGAUGACGUCAAGUCCUCAUGGCCCUUAUAGUGGGGCUACACACGUCAUACAAUGGCCGGUACAGAGGGUAGCCAACCCGCAGGGGGAGCCAAUCCCACAAAGCCGGUCGUAGUCCGGAUCGCAGUCUGCAACUCGACUGCGUGAAGUCGGAAUCGCUAGUAAUCGCGGAUCAGCAUGUCGCGGUGAAUACGUUCCCGGGUCCUU
rnacentral:rRNA from 1 species